UUUUAACUGCCGAGUUUGUCUUUCGGCAAACAUCGUAUAUUAUAUGCCGUUUCUCACUCCGUUGUAAAACGGCGGAAAUUCAUCAAUGCUCGAUUUUUGAUAAAAUCUGCGCUUGAUGAAUUUAUAG
rfam:Treponema pedis str. T A4, complete genome.